UACGGAGGAUGCGAGCGUUAUCCGGAUUUAUUGGGUUUAAAGGGUGCGCAGGCGGAAUGUCAAGUCAGCGGUAAAAUUUCGGGGCUCAACCCCGUCGUGCCGUUGAAACUGGAAGACUUGAGUGUGUUUGAGGUAGGCGGAAUGCGUGGUGUAGCGGUGAAAUGCAUAGAUAUCACGCAGAACUCCGAUUGCGAAGGCAGCAUACCGGCGCUCAACUGACGCUCAUGCACGAAAGCGUGGGUAUCGAACAGG
rnacentral:rRNA from 1 species